GACGUAGGGCGCAAGCGUUGUCCGGAUUUAUUGGGCGUAAAGAGCUCGUAGGCGGUCUGUCGCGUCUGCUGUGAAAACCCGAGGCUCAACCUCGGGCCUGCAGUGGGUACGGGCAGACUAGAGUGCGGUAGGGGAGAUUGGAAUUCCUGGUGUAGCGGUGGAAUGCGCAGAUAUCAGGAGGAACACCGAUGGCGAAGGCAGAUCUCUGGGCCGUAACUGACGCUGAGGAGCGAAAGCGUGGGGAGCGAACAGG
rnacentral:rRNA from 1 species